rnacentral:lncRNA from 1 species
AUGUCAUCAGAGGAUAAGACUGUGGAGCCCUCUGACCAGGGACCCUCACCGCCAUCGAGCAGUGUAGGGGCCACGUCCACAGGAAGUCCUGCCCACGCAGACAAGCGACCACGUGGCAGGCCGCGCAAGGAUGCUGCUGCCCUCCUACCCCAGGCACCACCCUUAUCCACGUCUAAGAACAGAAAAAAGGGUCGAACCAGAGGGAGAGUUGUUGUGGAUGAGGAGGACAGCAUGGAUGGGACUGAGAUAACAGAGUCCAUAGACCCUCAGGAGACGGGUGAGACUUUGUUUUUGAUCUUUUUUAUACACAUUGGUUUUACUGAGAGUGAUAUACGAUUUGAACUUGCACCCCAAGUAGCCUCAUGCAGUGCUUUGAAGGGUAUGUUAGUAAAGGUAGAUGAGUCUCCCUGUCCUGGAGAAGGAUGGAUGAGAGCUUUUUCUUAGCACCCAGUGCCUUUUUUUCAGGGCUAUAAUUGAAUGGGUUUAGCUUGAGCUGUGAAGCUGUAGUGGGUGUGUAUUUUUUCUUCUCCCCUUACUGCUUCCAUCUCUCCUCUUGCUCUGAGAUUGGCAUUGAGGUGCAGUGGGAAAGAGCCCAAGGCUAAUGCCCUCUAAAAGCUUUUUAAAAUCCCAUCAGUCUCUCCAGACCCAUUUAUGUGCCUUUUUUUAUGUGUGUACAUCACAUCAUGUGACCAUGCCUCCCAUUCUGAUACAUUUCAGUGCCGCCCUGUUGCUGAGCUGAAGAUAGUGGGAAAUGUGACUCUGUCAAUGACUUGCCUUUCUUCUGGUAUCAUUUACCUUAGAACAAACAAAGGCAAUAUUUCAGAGUUUAAAACUCUUCAACAUUUUUUGGGGGUAAAUGAUGUUAUGAAAUAACCAAGCAUUCACUUUGCCUUUUCAGUCUACCGCCAUAUGCACUUAAAACUCAGUGGUUUCCUCAGUGGCUCCCUGCCUCUGGGCUUUUGGAAAAUGAAAUUUGUGACUCUAUGCAGUCUUGUCCUUAAAGUGAUAUGUGCUGAGGUCAAGCAGAGUAUAUCAUAGCCUUUUAAAUGCAUUGCUUAUUUUGUCUGUCUCUGUAUUGUUAUACUUAGAGCUCACAUAGCUCACAUUUUCAAUAUACAUUACCAUUAAAACAGUGUGAUUGUGUCCAGGGAAAGGGUAGAGAAAUUAACGACUGUUAAAGUGAUAAGCCUUGGCGUUAUCAGUUUUGAUUAUGGUACUGGAGAGAUUAUAAUGCUUUUUUUUUUUCAUUCCAAUCCCAAAAACAGACCCCGCUCUCUCAGAUAGUGUGGGAGGAGCAUGGAAAGCUGCAGUACUGAGUAGAACAUACAGAGGGUCCUUCCUCUUGGUGACAAUGGCAGUGAUUUACUUUAAAUUUGCUUUAAAUUUCCCCCAAUUCAAUGCUGCUUAUUUCUGCAAGUUUGUGUUUUGAAUGCCCGGGUGAAAAUGUGUAGUCUGUCAAAACAUCAAGAAUGUAGUUUUUGAAUGGCAAGGUUGUUCCGAAUUUUACUCACCCUUUGGUCUGUUAUGUAUACAAGCAUCCUAUGCCUACAUAAUUGUGUUAAAGUAAUUGAUUCAUUAGCAUUGGUGGAGUAGUACUGUCACCAAUCAGUUUUUGUAAUCUGAUUUUACUUAACAGUAGGUCUGCACAGUUGAUGAAAUUUUAAUCUUGGUGACAAUUUUAAUUUUCCAACAAUUAAAUGAACAUGAUCGAUUGAUGCUGAAAAUGCUUGCUUUGCAAAACAAACAUAAAGCGAAAGCAGCGAAUGCGCCACUAAAUCAGCGCCUAACGAUAUGCCUCCACCUUGGACAAGUGAAUAAAGACCUUACAUGUCUGCAAAGAUUAUUUAAUUGACAGGAAUGUAACGUGAAACUCGUACCCUUAAAUAAAUAAAUAAAUAAAUAAAUAUAUGUGAGCGCAUUGGUACAUUGUACAUUGGUACAUUAGCAGAAAUUAGCAGAAAUGCAGCACUACAUGGAUGUUAAAGUAUUGUUAUGUUUACGUAAACAGCAUUUUGUCAGUAAUUGUGAUAAUUAUUGUGGCCAUAAUUGUGCAGCCCUGCUAAAUAGGAUGAUUUUUUUUAAGUUAACAAAUAUAACGAGCUAUUAUCUAAAAAGGGUGGGGGGAAACAGCAAUCAGUUUAAUAAGUUGAUGUCUUGUAAAAAAAAAUAAUUGUAAAACAUCCAUUGCAUAUGCACUGAGUUAUUAGUAGGUAAGUAGUAGUAAGCCUAGUAUGAGUUUUGCCUUUUUAUAAUUCCUUUGGAUGACACAAUCAUUGUGGCAUUAGCCUAAUUACAUGCCAAUGAAAUAUUAAUAACAUUUUACAUGGCCCAAAGUCUCAGUGAGAGGUACUGCUGGGAGUUGUUUUGUAUGAUUAGCAGAGUGAAUUGAGGGUUUCGUCAAUUAAAUUAAAAUUAAAAGCAGUCGUGAUAUGUCAGAUAUGAGUCCAGGAUUGAACUUUUUUUAUUCCCCCAAAAUAUUAAUUCUUGCUACUUGAGAUAUUUUGACAGCCAUGCCAUCUCUUUUAUUCCCUGCCUCUAUUGUUAUCACUAUUCUGUACGAGACCUUGAUGUUCCCACUGAGUUUACUGUAAUCAGUGCUUGAGCAUAUGGUCCCCAUAUUUUACCAUCCAUCUUGCUAAUAAAGGCUGUGUUUCUGACCUGGAGGAAAAAGACUAGAAUAUAACCAACCUGUCCUAUAACAGCCUGUGUCUGUCAGGAGCUAUAUGCUAAACAUGCAGUCAUAAUUGGCAGUGAAUUGAGGAGCAUUUACCAGCACAGAGGCAGAUGCAUUGGAACAAUUCAGUGCUUAGCUGUUUCUCUACUCCCUAACAGAUUGUUUGUCUUUUUCCCUUCCCUUUCUUUUUAAUUUUUACCAUCAGAAACACAAAUCCAGCCGGUGGAGACUGUGGAAGUGACCAGUGAGGUGCCAGAGGAGGACAGGCCCUCUUCCCCUCUGGCCCAGAGCCCUCUAGCCGAGAAUUCAGCAGGACCAUCUGUCCCAGCAAGUAGAGAAGUCAAAAGCAGGUUAAAAAUACUUUUCAUUUUCCCAGAAUCGCUGUUUUUGAGAAAUAAACGACCGUGCAUGCAUGUGUGUGUGAGACUUUGUGUUUAUCUUUUUACUUUUUAAAUUGUUUUUAUGAAUGUAUAAAGCGCCGGUCUAACACUUGCUAGAUACAUGCAUGGAUGGAUUAGGUGGGAGUCAUCAGCAGGUAGAGGCAGCACUUUUCCUCCCAGGUGCCACUUUGUUAGAGGUUGCAAUCAGUCUUCUGGCCUGUCUGUUCUAUCGAUGUUGGUGAUGGAAAGCAGAUCAGGAGCCUCUCCUGGGAUCUUAUUAACAGUACCAUCUCAUCACUUAAUGCGAUAAAUAUUUGCUGCUUGCUUUAUUACUCAACUUUCCAGCUCUUGGCUACUGUUCUGCUGCUUUUCUGUUUACCACUUUGUCUCCAAGAUGGCUUUCUCACUUAAAUUUGGAUUAUUAGCACAUCCAAAUAUCUGUGGUAUAACCA